rnacentral:misc_RNA from 1 species
GAUGAAGAACGUAGCGAAAUGCGAUAAGUAAUGUGAAUUGCAGAAUUCAGUGAACCAUCGAAUCUUUGAACGCACAUUGCGCCCGCGAGUAUUCUCGCGGGCAUGCCUGUCCGAGCGUCAUUUCAACCCUCAGGGCCCGCCUGCUUCGGCAGGCGCGGCGCUGGUGUUGGGGAUCGGCCUAACCGCCGUCCCCCAAAUACAGUGGCGGUCUCGCUGCAGCCUCCCCUGCGUAGUAGCAACACUCGCAUGCGGAGCGCGGCGCGGCCACGCCGUAAAACCCCCGACUUUCUGAACGUUGACCUCGGAUCAGGUAGGAAUACCCGCUGAACUUAAGCAUAUCAAUAAGCGGAGGA